rnacentral:lncRNA from 1 species
AUGAAGCUUGCUACCCUACACGAUACAGAUAAUGGUAACACCAGACUAUUCAAUUUAAAGAAUAUACACCAUGUGAAGACUGCAAUCAACACUGGAGACUGCUGUAGAGAGAAGACUGUGAUGAGCUGCCUAGGACCCACUCACCAUGGAAAUCUGGGAGUUGUCUUUUGAAUGGCUUUCUGCUGAUAAUCUGCCUCGUGUUUCUGAAGUUCCCCUAGCGAGGGAGACAUUCAAGUGAGUACAUGAUCAUCUGUCUGCAUACAGCCCACGAGUGGGGUCUGUGGUUCUACUUCUUGCUGGGCAGACCCUCCUCCCCUCUUCCCUCUCCUGCACCACAUAAGGACCAUCUCCAUUCAGCCUGCUCUGUUUGCUAGUCUGAGGAUCUGCUGUGUUCCUCGGUCUGAUUUUUUCUCUUGUUUCCCCGCCUGUGGCAUGCUCUGUUUUCUCCUUAGCUGGCCUUUGAUGUCCCUCUAGUAAUCGAGCCCAAAUUUGUGGAAAGUGUACUGCAAACUUAUUCGAGGCCAGGCUCUUUUUCCAGAAGAUGGGCAUCUCAAUGUGAAUAAAGCUAUAUUCUCCCUCA